UACGUAGGGUGCAAGCGUUGUCCGGAAUUAUUGGGCGUAAAGAGCGUGUAGGCGGCCCGAUUAGUCCGCUGUGAAAGUCCAGGGCUCAACCCUGGAAUGCCGGUGGAUACUGUCGGGCUAGAGUCCGGAAGGGGCGAGUGGAAUUCCUGGUGUAGCGGUGGAAUGCGCAGAUAUCAGGAGGAACACCAAUAGCGAAGGCAGCUCGCUGGGACGGUACUGACGCUGAGGUGCGAAAGCGUGGGGAGCAAACAGG
rnacentral:rRNA from 1 species